rnacentral:rRNA from 1 species
UACGUAGGGUGCAAGCGUUGUCCGGAAUUAUUGGGCGUAAAGAGCUCGUAGGCGGUCAGUCGCGUCUGCUGUGAAAACUCGGGGCUUAACUCCGGGCCUGCAGUGGGUACGGGCUGACUAGAGUGCGGUAGGGGAGACUGGAAUUCCUGGUGUAGUGGUGAAAUGCGUAGAGAUCCGGCGGAACACCGGUGGCGAAAGCGGUCUCCUGGGCCGAGGGCCGACGCUGAGGCGCGAGAGCGUGGGGAGCGAACCGG